AACGAAUGCUGGCGGCAGGCUUAACACAUGCAAGUCGAGCGCCCCGCAAGGGGAGCGGCAGACGGGUGAGUAACGCGUGGGAACGUACCCUUUGCUACGGAAUAGCUCCGGGAAACUGGAAUUAAUACCGUAUGUGCCCUACGGGGGAAAGAUUUAUCGGAGAAGGAUUAGCCCGCGUUGGAUUAGGUAGUUGGUGGGGUAAUGGCCUACCAAGCCUACGAUCCAUAGCUGGUUUGAGAGGAUGAUCAGCCACACUGGGACUGAGACACGGCCCAGACUCCUACGGGAGGCAGCAGUGGGGAAUCUUAGACAAUGGGGGCAACCCUGAUCUAGCCAUGCCGCGUGAUCGAUGAAGGCCUUAGGGUUGUAAAGAUCUUUCAGCUGGGAAGAUAAUGACGGUACCAGCAGAAGAAGCCCCGGCUAACUCCGUGCCAGCCGCCGCUGUAAAAC
rnacentral:rRNA from 1 species